AGAGUUGAUCAUGGCUCAGGACGACGCUGGCGGCGUGCCUAACACAUGCAAGUCGAGCGAGGAGAUCCUCGGGAUGAUCCUAGCGGCGGACGGGUGAGUAACACGUGGGCAACCUGCCUCAUAGAGAGGAAUAGCCUUCCGAAAGGGAGAUUAAUACCUCAUAACAUUGCAGUUUCGCAUGGAACAGCAAUUAAAGGAGUAAUCCGCUAUGAGAUGGGCCCGCGGCGCAUUAGCUAGUUGGUGAGGUAAUGGCUCACCAAGGCGACGAUGCGUAGCCGACCUGAGAGGGUGAUCGGCCACAUUGGGACUGAGACACGGCCCAGACUCCUACGGGAGGCAGCAGUGGGGAAUAUUGCACAAUGGGGGAAACCCUGAUGCCAGCAACGCCGCGUGAGUGAUGACGGCCUUCGGGUUGUAAAGCUCUGUCUUCAGGGACGAUAAUGACGGUACCUGAGGAGGAAGCCACGGCUAACUACGUGCCAGCCGCCGC
rnacentral:rRNA from 1 species